rnacentral:rRNA from 1 species
AGUGAACGCUGGCGGUAGGCCUAACACAUGCAAGUCGAACGGCAGCACAGGAGAGCUUGCUCUCUGGGUGGCGAGUGGCGGACGGGUGAGGAAUACAUCGGAAUCUGCCCAGUCGUGGGGGAUAACGUAGGGAAACUUACGCUAAUACCGCAUACGACCUUCGGGUGAAAGAGGGGGAUCGCAAGACCUCUCGCGAUUGGAUGAGCCGAUGUCGGAUUAGCUAGUUGGCGGGGUAAUGGCCCACCAAGGCGACGAUCCGUAGCUGGUCUGAGAGGAUGAUCAGCCACACUGGAACUGAGACACGGUCCAGACUCCUACGGGAGGCAGCAGUGGGGAAUAUUGGACAAUGGGCGCAAGCCUGAUCCAGCCAUACCGCGUGGGUGAAGAAGGCCUUCGGGUUGUAAAGCCCUUUUGUUGGGAAAGAAAUCUUUCAGGCUAAUACCCUGGGAGGAUGACGAUACCCAAAGAAUAAGCACCGGCUAACUUCGUG